rnacentral:rRNA from 1 species
GAUGAACGCUGGCGGCGUGCUUAACACAUGCAAGUCGAGCGAAGCAGUUGAAAAGAUUCUUCGGAUGAUUUUCAACUGACUGAGCGGCGGACGGGUGAGUAACGCGUGGGUGACCUGCCCCAUACCGGGGGAUAACAGCUGGAAACGGCUGCUAAUACCGCAUAAGCGCACAGGGCUGCAUGGCUCGGUGUGAAACACUCCGGUGGUAUGGGAUGGGCCCGCGUCUGAUUAGGCAGUUGGCGGGGUAACGGCCCACCAAACCGACGAUCAGUGGCCGGCCUGAGAGGGCGGCCGGCCACAUUGGGACUGAGACACGGCCCAGACUCCUACGGGAGGCAGCAGUGGGGAAUAUUGCACAAUGGGCGCAAGCCUGAUGCAGCAACGCCGCGUGAGGGAUGACGGCCUUCGGGUUGUAAACCUCUUUUAGCAGGGAAGAAGCGAAAGUGACGGUACCUGCAGAAAAAGCACCGGCUAACUACGUGCCAGCCGCCGCAGUAAUAC